AACUUGGAGAGCAAGGAUUACAGAGUCGCAAAUUUGGUUUUCGUUGGGAAAUUAAUCCCGAUUUUCGUGUUUAUCAUAUAACAUGAUCGUGGUCUUUCUCUUCUCUCACAUGGAAGGGUGAGGUGCAGGUCUGCUUAUUCUUGAUCAAGCGUUAUGUUGGUAAAAUAAGCGAUUCAUUCAUGUUGAUGAUCACGUGUUUAUUUUCUAGGAGUAUGGAUGAGGUUUGUUUUUAUCAAACUGUUAAUAUUGUUUAAAUCCAUUUUGUGGGUCUGACCACGUGUUUGCACAAACCCUCCUGUGCUAUGCAUAUACAUGAUAAUAUCUGUAUUAACACAGGAUCUGCUUUAGUUUAAUGUGUAGUCUACCAAUCUUAUUAGUGAUUUUAAGGACCUUAAUUAAAUGUACUUUUAAAUCAGUGUCUUAAUGUUGUGGAUUGGAUUUGUGGAGAUGUUAAUUGUUUAGUGUGACGAAAUUUAGAGGGGGGAUGCUUAUUUCUAUAAUAUAAUGAAUGCUUUCCUCUUAAUGUCUUGUACUUACAACCAGGUGGAAUAAGAAAUCCUGGAUUCCCAUAUUCCUGAAAUUCCAGGACUAUCAAGGAAUUUUAAAAUGUUUACUCCAGACAUGGAAAGUCAUGGCCUGCAAUUUUAUUUUUAUUUUUUAAAAUAUAAAUAGCCAAGCAUGAAAUAUCAGGGCUUUUUUUUCUAGCACGUUUACAUUUUAAUUGUUAUUUAUCAAACUACUAUUUUCCAUGCAGUAUUUUUCUUUAUCUGGUUAUUUCAUAAUGUUUAGGGGGAAAAUGCUUAUUUCUAUAGAAAUGGCCCUAGUGUGGGAAGCCUGUAAUAAGCUAGAAAAAAAUCUGGCAGUCAAAUUUAACUAAGUCUAUUAAGGUCCAGACAUCUAGAACUUUAGUAGAACCAGUUCUUCUGUAUGAGUCAGAAACCUGGACCCUAACUACCAAGCUUGAGAGCCAUUGUCAUGGUCUGAAUUUACCACCGGUCUGAAUUUACCAGGUAAAUUUAUUAACUUUAAUAAAACUAACUUGCUCAUAAAAUUCAAUCCAAACCAUUCACACAAUACAAAAACACAUUAUCUACACAUUAUAAAUCUGAAAAAGAUUGUAAAAAUAUCUUUCUUUUGAAAAUGGUGAAUCGCUGGUCUCGUGCCUGCUUGGACUGUGUUUUUUGCUGAUCUUCAUUUUGUGUCUGGGAAAUGAUUGUUUCCUCAUCCAUAUUCAACAGCUUGUCUACUGAUUAUCAAAUCUCACAAUUGUAAUCACAAUUCGCGUUCUAUUAGUCCACAAAUGUGUUGAAAUGCUCGGUACAAAAAUCGCAGCAAGAAAUGAUAAAUUUAGACUUUCCGGAAGUUGACCGGGGGAAAAAAAAUCGGUCUGUUCAUGGUAAACUUAUACCAGCACAUGAUCAGACCGUGACACCGUCUUGACGGAUGCUAUGCAAAUCUGUUAAGAAGAGCACAGGACAUCAGCCAUUCUCGGCCAUCGUGCCACAGGCAAACUAAUUUCCUCUCUCCUUCUGUGGCAUCCUUCUGGCAAAGUUGUAUCCAGACAGUGAACGUACCCAGACACCAUUGCCAGAGACUUGGGCAUCGAUAUUGAAGAUCUGGGUUCAGCGAUGUAGGACUGCUGUGUCUGGAGAGAGUUAGUCAUGGGAAUCUCGCCCACCCCCAUGGUCGAAGGACGAUGAUGUUUAAGCAGUUAAAGCUUUAAGUUUUGUCCUGAAAACAUCUGUGAACUAGUAAAUAAAGAUCACAAAUUGAUUGAUUUCUGGCUGGUUUUUGUCUGGUGACAGACAAACGUGCCCUGUUUUCCCUUUUCAUUAUCAGUCAUAGAAACUCAGCUUUUUCGUUCGUGAAAGUCAGGGAUUUUGACAUGACUUGAGUGGGAAUCCUGGAAAUCUCUUCUUCCACCCUGCCUCAGAUCCUGGAGGUGGAAUUAUUACACUUUAAUCUGAUAUUAACGGCUUAAAUUUGUUCUAUGCAUUAAAUACAUAAUGUUAAUAUUGUGUGUUUAGGUCAGAGGAGUGUCAGAGUGAAGCACCUGGUUAGAAAAGAGUACAAAAUCUCAGCAGGAGCUGAAAUGGAAAUUCUGAGCUCCAAAAUCGAAAGACCUCUGAUGUUAAAAGUACUCGGACUGGACUCCCAGCCACCUGACUGAGGAGAGCGAUGUUCUCUGCUGAAACUGAAGGUUAGAGGGCUGCCACUCACACUGAAGCACCUGAUUAGAAAAAGAGCACAAAAUCUCAGCAGGAGCUGAGAGGGAACACGCAAGCUGAGAAAAUAGGAUGUGCCAUGUCAAGUCGCCAAGUGAGCAAGCUCAUCACCUCCAGAAUUAUUGGCACCCUUCGUGAAACUUGCACAAGACUGAAUAAUGGUGCUGAAAGUGUGCCUUGAGGUCCAGAUAAGCAGCAUGUCUGUGUUCAGUACAGAUACACCUUUAUCUGCCCUUUUAUUUGAACUUAUUUUGUCUUUGUGCUACCUGGUGUUGACUGCAGUGUCUUUACAUGUUUAAAAGGGGUUGUCGGCUCUUUUCUGUGAAGCGAGAAUAAUUCUGGUGUGUGUUUCAUAUAUUAAAUAAGUGCUUUACUGGGAAAUACACCACUCCCCCCCCCCC